AUGCUCCAUCAUAGAGAGCUAAAAACACAACAACCCCCAUUAUUUGGAUCAUACCUCAGUGGUCAUUCGAAACCAUCCGUCAAGUUUUUAACAUGCUGCCAUACAAUCCCUCUUUGUAGGAAACAUUUCUGGCCUAUACGUUUUGAAGAGUCUUUUAGCAACACUGACAUAAUGACUCAUCAAUGUAUUGAAUUACAUUUAUUAAAGCUUUUUAUUUUAAAAGGUAUGAUACAUUUUGUCCACCCAACACGUAUAUGUGGUAUUACUUAUCUCAUAAUAAUGAUAACAAUAAUACUAAUAUAAUAAUAAUAAUAUGAAUAAUAUAAAAGAGCCCUACUAUCUAUUAGUAAGAUUAUGUAUCAAUAUAAACUGACUUUGGAAUAGACCAUUGUUUCGCUGUCUAUUUUUAUUGUAAUUGAUUAUGUAUACAUUCUUAAAAAAAGAAAACUAAAUAUUGGCCUAAUAGGAACUUGUAUCUUAAAUAUUACAAAUGUAUCCUCCAAAAACAAAUAAUUUGAAAAAGUACAUUUUUGUAUUCUGAGCUGUUGUCUGUUAUUUUCUCUGGCUUGGCUCUACACACACUGAGAUAAACGGGCAUGUUCAUAUUUUAUUCUGUACGUCUUAAGCAAUACAUAAAUAUAUUUUUAUUCUUGGCUAAUUUUUUAUUCCUUUUUUAAACAUAAAAUGGCUGCCGCUUAAACUAGGAAAUUGCAGUAUUUACAAAAACUAAAAAUAGGUUGCUAUUCUGUUCAACAAUGUUUUAAUGUACUUUCUAUUUUAUAACUUUGCUUAAUUUUAAUGCCAGAAAAUUGCAAAAUGUCAGCUUUCCGUCCAAAAUAAUACAUACUUUGGCCUUUAAAAACUAACAUCAGCACAGCUGUAUUAAUGUUUAAUUUUACAUUUAUUUUGUUUGAGCUUAAAUAUAUUUUGCAUUACACUUUUCAAUAUGAAUCAUACAAACAAGCUCUUUUCCGACUCUGCAUUCCCACUUCAGAUUAAUACAAAUGAUGACAUUAUCUGUGUGUGUGUGUCUUUUGUUGCUGUGUGGGGACCGUCAGGGGUUAAAAGGCUAAACGGCACGGAUCAUUGUUCUCUGUGAAAGGCUCCUUUGACGAACCCCACAGGGACGAGUACACAUACACACACUGACAAAAGGCAGCAGCACUCUGGAUCCUAUUAACAACCACACGGACUGGAUGGAGGGCGUGUGUGUGUAAGUGCAAAUAAAAGCAGCCCGCCGGCAGCCCCGCGCAUUUAAAUGGGUGCCACUUGCCAGUCGUUUUAAGGCAGGUGCCCUGAUCGCACACUAGUCUCACACAAACACAGGCGCAGGAAGACGCAGUGACAAAAUGUCCUCCACGGCUCGCCGAUAACAUCUGAAAGGGACAGCAGUGUUCCUGAUUUGCUGGAACAGCUCGGUGUGAGUCUGCGGGUGCAGUUUACGUUUCCAAAUAGAGGUGACAUUGUCUUUGUUGCUACCGGGAUACGUGUGACCACGACAUGUACAAUGACAGUGGAGGGGGGGGGGGGGCAGGAUCAGUGGAAACGCAGGGAGGGAGUGAUGUUCCACCUCAUCUACUCCCACUCAUGCGUCGCGUGAAACGCCCUGACUUUGCUCUUCCUCUUCUCUCUCCAUCCCGAGUCUUUGUGUGUAACCAGAAUGGCUUUGACCCACCAUGUUGGGCAGGUAGGGAACGUGGAUAAUAUUACAACGCAUGGCCUGUGUCAUUUUCUAUUACAUAAAGACAUAAUAAUAAUGUAAUACAAUGGAUACAGAUUAUCCAGAAAUGGAGCAAAGUUUGCAAUGGCCUUGUGAACAGCACACUACAAACCACCUCAGCAGCUACAAGCAAUGGAUUUAUAAAGACAAGGUCUUUCAUUCAUAAGAGGAACAGCAAAGCAAGACAGAGAACAGAAAGAAUGUAAAUCCUCAUUUAAAAUCAGGGCGGCAUCCUUUGGUUAGUUAUAAUGACUAUAGCUGUUUGUAUUGACCCCUUGUUGGUAUGCAGUGUCGUUUUAAGAAGACAAACACAGAUUUGUGGAUGUCGGGUCGGGUGGAAGCGGAAGGCUGGCCGUGUUUUGGGGUGAGGUUUGCGGGCACCAUGUUGUUUUUCAGCUCCUCUGCAAGCAGGACACGCCUUCUGUGGGCUCCUGGUUCUGCUGCAGCACCCUUCAUGGCAUUACAUCACCCAGCUAGAGAGCAGCCC
ensembl:lncRNA